rnacentral:rRNA from 1 species
GACGGAAGGUGCAAGCGUUGCUCGGAAUCAUUGGGCGUAAAGGGUGCGUAGGCGGCUUGGUGGGUCUGGUGUGAAAGCCCCGGGCUUAGCCCGGGAAGGGCGCUAGAAACUGCCGAGCUCGAGUGCCGGAGGGGAGAGUGGAAUUCCGUGGUGUAGCGGUGAAAUGCGCAGAUAUCAGGAGGAACAGCCGGUGGCGAAGGCGGGUCUCUGGGCCGAUGACUGACGCUGAGGAGCGAAAGCGUGGGGGAGCAAACAGG